rnacentral:rRNA from 1 species
ACUGCUCAGUAACACGUGGAUAACCUGCCCUUGGGUCCGGCAUAACCCCGGGAAACUGGGGAUAAUUCCGGAUAACGCACAUAUGCUGGAAUGCUUUAUGCGUAAAAUGGAUUCGUCUGCCCAAGGAUGGGUCUGCGGCCUAUCAGGUAGUAGUGGGUGUAAUGUACCUACUAGCCUACAACGGGUACGGGUUGUGAGAGCAAGAGCCCGGAGAUGGAUUCUGAGACAUGAAUCCAGGCCCUACGGGGCGCAGCAGGCGCGAAAACUUUACAAUGCGGGAAACCGUGAUAAGGGGACACCGAGUGCCAGCAUCAUAUGCUGGCUGUCCAGGUGUGUAAAAUACACCUGUUAGCAAGGGCCGGGCAAGACCGGUGCCAGCCGCCGCGGUAACACCGGCGACCCGAGUGGUGAUCGUGAUUAUUGGGUCUAAAGGGUCCGUAGCCGGUUUGGUCAGUCCUCCGGGAAAUCUGACGGCUUAACCGUUAGGCUUUCGGGGGAUACUGCCAGGCUUGGAACCGGGAGAGGUAAGAGGUACUACAGGGGUAGGAGUGAAAUCUUGUAAUCCCUGUGGGACCACCUGUGGCGAAGGCGUCUUACCAGAACGGGUUCGACGGUGAGGGACGAAAGCUGGGGGCACGAACCGGAUUAGAUACCCGGGUAGUCCCAGCCGUAAACGAUGCUCGCUAGGUGUCAGGCAUGGCGCGACCGUGUCUGGUGCCGCAGGGAAGCCGUGAAGCGAGCCACCUGGGAAGUACGGCCGCAAGGCUGAAACUUAAAGGAAUUGGCGGGGGAGCAC